AUUGAACGCUGGCGGCAUGCCUUACACAUGCAAGUCGAACGGCAGCACGGGAGCAAUCCUGGUGGCGAGUGGCGUACGGGUGAGUAAAGUAUCGGAACGUGCCCAGUCGUGGGGGAUAACGUAGCGAAAGUUACGCUAAUACCGCAUACGAUCUAUGGAUGAAAGCGGGGGAUCGCAAGACCUCGCGCGAUUGGAGCGGCCGAUAUCAGAUUAGGUAGUUGGUAGGGUAAAGGCUCACCAAGCCGACGAUCUGUAGCUGGUCUGAGAGGACGACCAGCCAAAAUGGGACUGAGACACGGCCCAGACUCCUACGGGAGGCAGCAGUGGGGAAUGUUGGACAAGGGGCGAAAGCCUGAUCCAGCCAUGCCGGGUGCAGGAUGAAGGCCUUCGGGUUGAAAACGGCUUUUGUACGGAACGAAAAGGUUUGGGCUAAUAAGCUGAGCUCAUGACGGUACCGUAAGAAUAAGCACCGGCUAACUACGUGCCAGCCGCCGCAGUAA
rnacentral:rRNA from 1 species